rnacentral:tRNA from 1 species
GGGGCUAUAGCUCAGUGGCAGAGCACUUUGCUUAGCAUGCACAAGGCCUUGGGUUCAACCCCUGGUACCCCUC